AUAACAUACAUUAUCGCAGAGAUAAUUGUUCAUUUAUUUAUUUUGUGAUAAAAAUAGGUUCUUAUACUAUAAGACAUUAAAUGCGAGUCCCCUCAAUGCAUCGUUCCAAUCAAAGCAGGUAGUCCGUGAUGUGCUUGUGAUAGUGUUUCAGCGGCAGGCCGGACAGCGAUUGCGCGUUUUGCAGGAAAGUGUCGGUCUGUUUUUCGUAGCGCCACGAGAGGCUCAUUAGUGCCAGAGUGAGCAACGAGCUGAUCACGAAGAACCAUAAGACUAGACAAGUGAGAGAUCGGCAUAGCCCAGUGCCUGAAAUAAUUCAGCAGUCAUCGAACAAUUGAUGAUGUUAAAUCAGAGAUCGGAUUGAAAGGGUGAAAAUUAUAUUACCUGUAGCUUUGUCUGAUUUACGCGCGCACACGUUGGACGACAAUUCUGCCAAUCUUGCAUUGUUAUCAUCGUUGUUCCGAGAAUUGCCCGUAUUUUGUGUUUGGGACUCAAUCUUACCUCCACUCGUCUUGCUCUCCUUCUCUGCGUUCCUCUUCUUUUUCUUCUUGCUCUCCUUCUUUGUUGUUACCUCUCCCGUCUCACCUGAAACGUACAAUGUAAGAGUGUACGUAAUUCAAGCUAGGCAGUGAACAAUUUACC